rnacentral:rRNA from 1 species
AACGAACGCUGGCGGCAUGCCUAACACAUGCAAGUCGAACGAGACCUUCGGGUCUAGUGGCGCACGGGUGCGUAACGCGUGGGAAUCUGCCCUUUGCUUCGGAAUAACAGUUAGAAAUGACUGCUAAUACCGGAUGAUGUCUUCGGACCAAAGAUUUAUCGGCAAAGGAUGAGCCCGCGUAGGAUUAGGUAGUUGGUGGGGUAAAGGCCUACCAAGCCGACGAUCCUUAGCUGGUCUGAGAGGAUGAUCAGCCACACUGGGACUGAGACACGGCCCAGACUCCUACGGGAGGCAGCAGUGGGGAAUAUUGGACAAUGGGCGCAAGCCUGAUCCAGCAAUGCCGCGUGAGUGAUGAAGGCCUUCGGGUCGUAAAGCUCUUUUACCAGGGAUGAUAAUGACAGUACCUGGAGAAUAAGCUCCGGCUAACUCCGUG